CAGUCGCCACGGUAACACGUAGGUGGCAAGCGUUGUCCGGAAUUAUUGGGCGUAAAGCGCGCGCAGGUGGUUUAAUAAGUCUGAUGUGAAAGCCCACGGCUCAACCGUGGAGGGUCAUUGGAAACUGUUAAACUUGAGUGCAGGAGAGAAAAGUGGAAUUCCUAGUGUAGCGGUGAAAUGCGUAGAGAUUAGGAGGAACACCAGUGGCGAAGGCGGCUUUUUGGCCUGUAACUGACACUGAGGCGCGAAAGCGUGGGGAGCAGACAGGAUUAGAUACCCGCGUAGUCCCUGUCUCUUAUAC
rnacentral:rRNA from 1 species